rnacentral:piRNA from 1 species
CAUGUGAUCCCCUCCAAGCCC